UACAGAGGGUGCGAGCGUUGUCCGGAAUCACUGGGCGUAAAGGGCGCGUAGGCGGCUUGAUAAGCGUGCGGUGAAAGCCCGGGGCUCAACCCCGGGUCGGCCGUGCGAACUGUCGAGCCGGAGCACUGUAGAGGCAGGUGGAAUUCCGGGUGUAGCGGUGGAAUGCGUAGAGAUCCGGAAGAACACCGGUGGCGAAGGCGGCCUGCUGGGCAGUGGCUGACGCUGAGGCGCGACAGCGUGGGGAGCAAACAGG
rnacentral:rRNA from 1 species